GACGAACGCUGGCGGCGUGCUUAACACAUGCAAGUCGAACGGAAAGGCCCUGCUUUUGUGGGGUGCUCGAGUGGCGAACGGGUGAGUAACACGUGAGUAACCUGCCCUUGACUUUGGGAUAACUUCAGGAAACUGGGGCUAAUACCGGAUAGGAGCUCCUGCUGCAUGGUGGGGGUUGGAAAGUUUCGGCGGUUGGGGAUGGACUCGCGGCUUAUCAGUUUGUUGGUGGGGUAGUGGCUUACCAAGGCUUUGACGGUUAGCCGGCCUGAGGGGGUGACCGGCCACAUUGGGACUGAGAUACGGCCCAGACUCCUACGGGAGGCAGCAGUGGGGAAUAUUGCACAAUGGGCGGAAGCCGGAUGCAGCAACGCCGCGUGCGGGAUGACGGCCUUCGGGUUGUAAACCGCUUUCGCCUGGGACGAAGCGUGAGUGACGGUAAUUGGUAAAGAAGCACCGGCUAACUACGUG
rnacentral:rRNA from 1 species